GAUGAAGAACGCAGCGAAAUGCGAUAAGUAAUGUGAAUUGCAGAAUUCAGUGAAUCAUCGAAUCUUUGAACGCACCUUGCGCCCUUUGGCCAUUCCGAAGGGCAUGCCUGUUUGAGUAUCAUGAACACCUCAACUCUUUAUGGUUUUCCAUGAUGAGCUUGGACUCUGGGGGUUUUGCUGGCUCACAGUCGGCUCCUCUAAAAUAAAUCAGCUUACCAGUGUUUGGUGGGUAUCAUGGGUGUGAUAACUAUCUACGCUUGUGGUUUUUCCACCAGGUAACCUUCAGCAGUGGAGGUUCGCUGGAGCUCAUAGACGUCUCUCCUCAGUGAGGACAACCCUUUGAACGUUUGAUCUCAAAUCAGGUAGGACUACCCGCUGAACUUAAGCAUAUCAAUAAGCGGAGGA
rnacentral:misc_RNA from 1 species